rnacentral:misc_RNA from 1 species
CACAUUUGAAUUGAAAAAUUUAUAGUUAUAGUAAGCGAAGUCUUGUUUAAUUUUGAAAUUCGAAUUUUAUAGGUAGAAAAAUGGUUGUUGGCGCAUUUCCAAUAGCGAAACUCGGCAUGUUGGGUAUAAAGCACAUAAGCAAGCCCAUCGGUAAUCUAAUCAAGCAGACAGCGAAAAAGAAUGAGAGCUUUAAGAAGUUUGUCGUUUCACCACCGGCUCGUUCGGGUUCCAGUAUAUCAUACAAUCGAUGUGCGUUCGAAGAUGUGGAUGCUGGGUCUGGGCCAACCAGAUUUCAUUCCGCCGCUCACAGAGGCGAUGACUAUUCAAAUGGGCGGUGAUAUUCUCGGAGAGCUAUUUAUUUUCCUUAUAGGAGUUUUACUCAUAAUGGGAGAAGUUUCCAGGCAAGCUAAGAAGGACCAAAAAAAGCACGAAGCCCAUCGCCUCCGUCGAGCAGAAUUAGAAUCGCGUAUUACAAAUUUAACGGAAAAGGUAAACCGUCAAGAACAGGAAAUCAAUCGUCUAAAACAUUGGGUAUAGCACUGAAUGGCGUAAG